rnacentral:lncRNA from 1 species
CAAAUAUGACCUAAGGAACCAUAGUCGCCGCCCCGCCAUGAUCGUUCCUCAUUUUUUGCGUUUUUCGGCCAAAAAACUAGAAUUCCGCGCGAUUCCCAUAUUUUCGUGUGUUAGCCCACGCCUUCCGAGUGGUCCCGGCUCCCCCGGACCCCGAUCGCCUAAAAUUUUUACGGGCCAUCAAAUACGACCUAAGGAACCAUAGUCACCGCCUCGCCAUGAUCGUUCCUCAUUUUUUGCGUUUUUAGGCCAAAAACCUAGAAUUCCGCGCGAUUCCCAUAUUUUCGUAUGUUAUAGCCCACGCCUUCCGAGUGCGCCAAGCCCCCCGGACUGUGAUCGCCUAAAAAAAUUUGGGACAUCAAAUAGGACCUAAGUAAUCAUAGGCACUGCCCCGCCCUGAUCGUUCCUCAUUUUGUACGGUUUUCGGCCAAAAACGUAGAAUUGCGCCCGUUUCCCAUAUUUUCGUGUGCUAUAGCCCACGCCUUCCGAGUGGGCCGGGUCCCCUGAAUCGGAUCGCCUAAAAAUAUUUUUGGGCUAUCAAAUACAACCUAAGGAACCAUAGUCACCGCACCGCCAUGAUCAUUCCUCAUUCUUUGCAUUUUUCGGCCAAAAAACUAGAAUUCUGCCCGAUUCCCAUAUUUUCGUGUGCUAU